rnacentral:misc_RNA from 1 species
GGGUAACUGUCAGUGCAUAACCCUUCGCCUAUCAACCACAAGCGGGUGACACUAACUUCAAAGUUGUUGCAUCUUGCGCAUUUAUCCAUGCACUCUUCACUGCUUGUCUUUCCUAUUCCUACUUUCCCAGUAUAGAAAUCAUCGCCUGUAAUCACCACCAUCCAUGGGCAACACAUCUUCAAUGCUCACUCAAUACGACAUCGAAGAAGUUCAGGAGCACUGUAGCCACACCUGUAAUCAAUUACUCACUCACUCACCCACAUCACAUUCUUUCCCUAUUCCAUUAAUCUGGAUCUAUUGAUCUUUUGAUUUUUGAUUCCAUAUUCGUAGUUUCGCAGCAAGAGAUUGUUUCAUUGUACCAGAGGUUCUGCCAACUGGAUCGAAAUGGAGGGGGUUUUAUCUCCGCUGAGGAGUUCCUCUCAGUGCCUGAAUUCGCUGUCAAUCCUCUUUCUCAAAGAUUGUUGAGGAUGAUAGAUGGAUUAAAUUUUAAGGAAUUUGUGGCAUUCUUAUCUGCAUUCAGUCCCCGUGCAACUUUGCAGCAGAAAAUUGAAUUUAUUUUCAAGGUGUAUGAUUCUGAUGGCAAUGGGAAAGUUACGUUCAAUGACUUGUUGGAUGUGUUGCAUGAUUUGACUGGACAGUUCAUAUCGGAACAGCAGAGGAAGCAAGUGCUGAUCCAUGUCCUUGAGGAAGCAGGCUACACGAAGGAUUCUUCAUUAGUUUUGUCAGACUUUGUAAAGAUUCUUGGAAAUUCUGGUUUGAAGAUGGAAGUUGAAGUUCCUGUAGAUUAAUGCAAGGAGAAAAAUCAUUAGUGCUGCAAAUUCAAGCCAGAGUGCGGAUGGCAUUAGCAGAAUACUAUUUGCAUUGAAGCGUGGUCUUUACUGUGUACUUUGAAAAUCAAAGUCCAGUUGCUUUUAUAAGGUAUCUGAUUUUAAACUUUGUUUAAAACAUCUCUCAUUUCAUCGCAUUCUUUGGUUCCCCCCAAGUUGAUAAUGUUAUUGCUGAUGGAGAAUUUUGAUGAUUUUUAAAUUUUAAAUGAUAAAUAAUUUUUUCAGUUGAGUGAGAAAAUGAAUGUGGCUUAAUUUGACUCUAAUUUAUAAGCGCCCAUUUACUUUCAAACUGCUCAAAUCUCACCUAAAUCAGGGGCUUACUAAAUUUGGUAUUCCUUUCUCCUGCCAUUUUCAAAUCCUUCCAAGUUGGAUAAAUUCAUUACGAUACUUACGAAUCUCAUCCAAUUUGAUCGAUUCAGGUCCAAUUCUUGAAUAAUUUCAAUUUAUCCACAAGAUUUGAAUCGGUGGGCUUGUGAAUCGACUCGAAUCGUAUGAUUUAUAUCAUUAAUCAUAUGAUUCUAAUAACAAUGCUUCCAACAUUCAUUUGACUGUGUCAAGUCUCUCUCUGUCUCUCUCUUAAUAGGCUUAUGUAGUUAUGUUUCAAUCAUUAAGAGUUUAUUGAAGGGC